UUGAUUUUUGCUUUGCUAUGUUUGUCGCUAAGUCCGCGCGUGCACUGCAUAGCAUUUUUAUUUUUACAAAUGAUGCAGCUGUCAUUACUUCACGUGUACCAACAACAAUUCGAUACCGUUAAUUAUUGCGGGGAACGCGACCUCAACCACAGUGCGCCUCAAUCAUCAUUGUUUCUGAGCUCGUGACGCAACCCCAACCGAACGAAGCUGACAACAAGGAAGAUUCCACAGAGCGGUGCCAUGUUGUUCAUGCUCUUGUUCGCCGUUGUCCUGAUGGUGUUUGGAGCCGUGGUCUUCUACAAGGCUCGGGCGAGCGGCCGCGAAUUGUGGAACAAGUGCUGCGGAAAGCAGGAAGAGAACGUCUGAGGCUCGAGAGGAGUCGGGAUGCCUCGGCGGUCGUUGUCCGGUCCUCGUCGUCGGAGCGACGCGCCGUGGGAGGAGGCACCCGGUCGCCACCCGCGGCUGGGCCUCGGUUGUUUGUUGAUCAUCUCUGCGUCCGCUGGCUGCGCCUCGUUUUAUCGCCCCUUGAUCCUGAAGACCCAUCUGAGAGUUUUUUCGCCCGUGCAUUAAAAGAAGUUACACGGCAGCCGCGCACACUUGCCGGCUGCCGCUUGCGCCCGUG